GACGAACGCUGGCGGCGUGCUUAACACAUGCAAGUCGAACGGAAAGGCCCUGAUUUUGCUGGGUGCUCGAGUGCCGCACGGGUGAGUAACACGUGAGUAACCUGCCCUUAACUGUGGGAUAACAUCAGGGAACUGGGGCUAAUAUCCGAUAGGAGCUCCUGCUCCAUGGGGGGGGUUGGUAAGUUUCGGCGGUUCGGGAUGGACUCGCGGCUUAUCCGCUUGUUUGUCGAGUAGUGGCUUACCAAGGCUGUGACGGGUAGCCGGCCUGGGAGGUGUACCGGGCACAUGGGGACUGAGGGAGGGCCCAGAAGCCUACGGGAGGCAGUAGUGGAAAGUAUGACGGAACGGGCGCGAGCGUGAGGUGAAGACGCUCGGAGCGGGAUGACGGCCUUCUAGGGAUAAACAGAUGUGGAAGGAGACGAAGCGGGAUUGACGGUAAUGGAUAAAGAAGCACCGGCUAACUACGUG
rnacentral:rRNA from 1 species